rnacentral:rRNA from 1 species
AUGAUGAUGCCCAUGUCGUUGACGAUUGACAUUGUUAUCGUGCUCUUGGCGAAGAGGAUUGUUGACCUCAUGUUGCUCUUGGCGAGGAGGGUUGUCAACCUCAUGUUGCUCUCAGCGAUGAUUGUGUCCAUUGUCUUCUUGCUCUCGAUGGACUUGACGUUCUUGUCUUGCUUGAGAGGGAGCUUGUCUAUCUUGACGAGGAGCUUGUCGAUGCACGCGGUCUUGGUAAAUUCGUUCUUGAGCUUCAUCGCGAAGUGCUUCUUGAUGGAGACGAGCUUGUCGGCCUCGAUUGGCUACGGCACGACUUGA